rnacentral:rRNA from 1 species
UGUCUUGUAAUUGGAAUGAUGGUGACUUAAACCCUCACCAGAGUACCAAUUGGAGGGCAAGUCUGGUGCCAGCAGCCGCGGUAAUUCCAGCUCCAAUAGCGUAUAUUAAACUUGUUGCAGUUAAAAAGCUCGUAGUUGAAUUUCAGCGUUUCGCGUGUGCCUCUUUUGGCCCAUCUCGUCUCGCUUUUUUUAUUACUUUGAGAAAAUUAGAGUGUUUCAAGCAGGCUUUUGUCUUGAAUACUUGAGCAUGGAAUAAUAGAGUAGGACCUUGGUUCUAUUUUGUUGGUUUUGUUACCUUGGUAAUGGUUAAUAGGAACGGUUGGGGGCAUUCGUAUUUAACUGUCAGAGGUGAAAUUCUUAGAUUUGUUAAAGACGAACUACUGCGAAAGCAUUUGCCAAGGACGUUUCCAUUAAUCAAGAACGAAAGUUAGGGGAUCGAAGACGAUCAGAUACCGUCGUAGUCCUAACCAUAAACUAUGCCGACUAGGGAUUGGAGGUCGUCAUUUUUCCGACUCCUUCAGCACCUUGAGAGAAAUCAAGGUCUUUGG